rnacentral:rRNA from 1 species
CCUACGGGUGGCAGCAGUGAGGAAUAUUGGUCAAUGGCCGGAAGGCUGAACCAGCCAUGCCGCGUGAAGGUCAGUGCCCUAUGGGCGUUAAACUUCUUUUGUGCGGGAGCAAUAAUGGUCACGUGUGGCCAGACGAGAGUACCGUACGAAUAAGCAUCGGCUAACUCCGUGCCAGCAGCCGCGGUAAUACGGGGGAUGCAAGCGUUAUCCGGAUUUAUUGGGUUUAAAGGGUGCGUAGGCUGUGAGGUAAGUCAGCGGUGAAAUGCCCCCGCUCAACGGGGUGAAGUGACAUUGAUACUGCCUUGCUGGAAGGCGGAUGCCGUGGGAGGAAUGUGUGGUGUAGCGGUGAAAUGCAUAGAUAUCACACAGAACACCGAUUGGGAAGGCAGCUCACGAAUCCGCGAUUGACGCUGAUGCACGAAAGCGUGGGUAUCAAACAGGAUUAGAUACCCCAGUAGUC